rnacentral:tRNA from 1 species
GCAGCACCAUUUUUGUUAAACAGCAUAACUCUAUAUACACUUUUAGAGACAACAAGAUCUCAAAAACUUAACGUUUUCAAUGUUGUAUCGUGUUGUUUCUAGACACAUCCCUCGCAAGGAUGGGAUCAGCAGUUCGAGUCUGCGAUGCGGCACCA